UACGUAGGGGCGAGCGUUGUCCGGAAUUAUUGGGCGUAAAGAGCGUGUAGGCGGUUCGGUAAGUCUGCCGUGAAAUCCUGGGGCUCAACCCCGGCGUGCGGUGGAUACUGCCGGGCUAGAGGGUGGUAGAGGCGAGUGGAAUUCCCGGUGUAGCGGUGAAAUGCGUAGAUAUCGUAAGGAAGACCAGUGGCGAAGGCAGCUCGCUGGGACGUUACUGACGCUGAGACGCGAAAGCGUGGGGAGCAAACAGG
rnacentral:rRNA from 1 species